GACGAACGCUGGCGGCGUGCUUAACACAUGCAAGUCGAACGGUGAAGGGAUCAGCUUGCUGGUUCUGGAUGAGUGGCGAACGGGUGAGUAACACGUGAGUAACCUGCCCCCUUCUUCUGGAUAACCGCAUGAAAGUGUGGCUAAUACGGGAUAUUCUGCGCCUGCUGCAUGGUGGGUGUGGGAAAGAUAUUGUUUCGGUGGGUGAUGGGCUCGCGGCCUAUCAGCUUGUUGGUGGGGUGAUGGCCUACCAAGGCGGUGACGGGUAGCCGGCCUGAGAGGGUGGACGGUCACACUGGGACUGAGACACGGCCCAGACUCCUACGGGAGGCAGCAGUGGGGAAUAUUGCACAAUGGGCGCAAGCCUGAUGCAGCGACGCCGCGUGAGGGAUGGAGGCCUUCGGGUUGUGAACCUCUUUCGCCAGUGAAGCAGGCCUGUCCCUUGUGGGUGGGUUGACGGUAGCUGGAUAAGAAGCGCCGGCUAACUACGUG
rnacentral:rRNA from 1 species